rnacentral:rRNA from 1 species
UUGGGAGAAUGUUAUAACAUAAGGUAAAUUACUGCCAGGUGAGACCGAAGACUGAACAUUCACUAGGAUGUUGGCGUAAUCGUUGUUAGCGACCCGUCUUGAAACACGGACCAAGGAGUCGACCAAUCUGGCAAGUUUUAGGGCGUAAACCCCUGAAGCGCAAUGAAAGUGAACGUAGGUGGGAGCCUUUGGGUGCACCAUCGACCGAUCCUGAUGUCUUCGGAUGGAUUUGAGUAUGAGCCCGGCUGGUCGGACCCGAAAGAUGGUGAACUAUGCGUGAAUAGGGUGAAGCCAGAGGAAACUCUGGUGGAGGCUCGCAGCGGUUCUGACGUGCAAAUCGAUCGUCAAAUUUGCGCAUAGGGGCGAAAGACUAAUCGAACUUCU